GACGAACGCUGGCGGCGUGCUUAACACAUGCAAGUCGAACGAAGUGGCGCACGUGUGAGUAACGCGUAAUCAACCUGCCCUUCAGAGGGGUACCACAGUUGUAACCGACUGCUAAUACCGCAUACUGACGUAGGGGCUUGCGUCUGAUUAGCUAUUUGGAGGCGUAACGGCCCAACAAGGCGAUGAUCAGUAGCCGGUCUGAGAGGAUGAACGGCCACAUUGGGACUGAGACACGGCCCAGACUCCUACGGGAGGCAGCAGUGGGGAAGCUGCCGCAAUGGACGAAAGUCUGACGGAGCAACGCCGCGUGAGUGAUGACGGCCUUCGGGUUGUAAAGCUCUGUUAAUCGGGACGCGGUACCGGAAUAGAAAGCCACGGCUAACUACGUGCCAGCAGCCGCGGUAAUAC
rnacentral:rRNA from 1 species